UACGAAGGGGGCUAGCGUUGCUCGGAAUCACUGGGCGUAAAGCGCACGUAGGCGGAUUGCUAAGUCAGGGGUGAAAUCCUGGAGCUCAACUCCAGAACUGCCUUUGAUACUGGCGAUCUUGAGUCCGGGAGAGGUGAGUGGAACUGCGAGUGUAGAGGUGAAAUUCGUAGAUAUUCGCAAGAACACCAGUGGCGAAGGCGGCUCACUGGCCCGGUACUGACGCUGAGGCACGAAAGCGUGGGGAGCAAACAGGGA
rnacentral:rRNA from 1 species